UGGAGAAUUUUGGACAAUGGGCGAAAGCCUGAUCCAGCAAUGCCGCGUGUGUGAAGAAGGCCUUCGGGUUGUAAAGCACUUUUGUCCGGAAAGAAAUCCUUGGCUCUAAUACAGUCGGGGGAUGACGGUACCGGAAGAAUAAGCACCGGCUAACUACGUGCCAGCAGCCGCGGUAAUACGUAGGGUGCAAGCGUUAAUCGGAAUUACUGGGCGUAAAGCGUGCGCAGGCGGUUUGCUAAGACCGAUGUGAAAUCCCCGGGCUCAACCUGGGAACUGCAUUGGUGACUGGCAGGCUAGAGUAUGGCAGAGGGGGGUAGAAUUCCACGUGUAGCAGUGAAAAUGCGUAGAGAUGUGGAGGAAUACCGAUGGCGAAGGCAGCCCCCUGGGCCAAUACUGACGCUCAUGCACGAAAAGCGUGGGGAGCAAAACAGGAUUAGAUACCCUGGUAGUCCACGCCCUAAAACGAUGUCAACUAGUUGUUGGGGAUUCAUUUCCUUAGUAACGUAGCUAACGCGUGAAGUUGACCGCCUGGGGAGUACGGUCGCAAGAUUAAAAACUUAAAUGAAUUGACGGGGUCAUAGCUGUUUCCU
rnacentral:rRNA from 1 species